rnacentral:rRNA from 1 species
UACAGAGGGUGCAAGCGUUGUUCGGAAUUAUUGGGCGUAAAGCGCGUGUAGGCGGCUUUGCAAGUCGGGUGUGAAAGCCCUCAGCUCAACUGAGGAAGUGCGCCCGAAACUGCAGAGCUUGAGUGCCGGAGAGGGUGGCGGAAUUCCCCAAGUAAAGGUGAAAUUCGUAGAUAUGGGGAGGAACACCGGUGGCGAAGGCGGCCACCUGGACGGUAACUGACGCUGAGACGCGAAAGCGUGGGGAGCAAACAGG